rnacentral:piRNA from 1 species
CACCCAAAGCUGAAAUUCUUAUUAAAC